CAUCCUUGGCACCCCUAUACCUGAGCCUGCCCUCAUCUGACCCUCUCUUCUUCACCAGCCCCAUCGCAAGUAUACCCAGCUUUAUCCUCCACAUCAGGGGCUGAGGUGACAACAUGUCGGUAGGAGGAAUCCUUGCAGGUGAUCUGCUGGAAAAGGAGCACUUCCAGGGAGGCUUCCCCCUGCCACCCAGUGUGCUUCGGUGUCAGCGCCCGCCGCUGCAGAGGUUCUGCACGCAGGGAACAAACUCCUCUCCCUGUCGGCCUCUGCCCAGCACGCUGUGGAUGGUUCAUCUGCCACACACACAAAGCAGUGCGCUGGAAGGAAAGAUCUGGAACACUGAGCCCAGGGCUUCGCCCCAUCCAGGGCCACUUGGAUACCAUGGAUUGAGAUGGCAGGGCCACAGAACGCAAUCCACCUGGACCCUGGAGUCCCCAAGGAGCUACCCUGGAGACCAGCUGGACCCUC
ensembl:lncRNA novel transcript, antisense to CTIF